CAAAAAAGUAAUGCAGGAAUUCUUUUCGUGUAGGUCUGAAGAUGCCGUGUGCAAAGUUUUGUGUCAAUUGGUCGUGAAAUGUGGGAGGAGUAGCGAAAAAACAUUUUUGCGGUUUUCGCGAUUUAGCGAAAAAUAUUCAUAGACGCAAAUGGGCGUGGCCUAGGUCAAAAGAUGCAACAGACUCCAGUGCAUCUGUGUGUACAAGUUUUUGGACUCUGGGAGGUUCGGUGUGGGAGUUAUAGCCCCAAACGCGUAUUCCUUGGUAUAGCGCCACCUAGUGGCCGGCAUGUCUGGAUUUUGUCGUCUGCCGUCACCUCACGGACCUGGAUCUAGUCAUGCAAUUGGCGUGUCGGCACCAUUUACGGUUUGGGCUGUGGGCACACUUUUAGGUUUAUUUUUGCUGGAAUAAUAAAAAGAAAAAUCCUUACAAAAACAAUAGGGAUCCAACCUGUUGGCUUGGACCCCUAAUAAGAA
ensembl:lncRNA